rnacentral:rRNA from 1 species
AUUGAACGCUGGCGGCAGGCCUAACACAUGCAAGUCGAACGGUAACAGGAAACAGCUUGCUGUUUCGCUGACGAGUGGCGGACGGGUGAGUAAUGUCUGGGAAACUGCCUGAUGGAGGGGGAUAACUACUGGAAACGGUAGCUAAUACCGCAUAACGUCGCAAGACCAAAGAGGGGGACCUUCGGGCCUCUUGCCAUCGGAUGUGCCCAGAUGGGAUUAGCUAGUAGGAGGGGUAACGGCUCACCUCGGCGACGAUCCCUAGCUGGUCUGAGAGGAUGACCAGCCACACUGGAACUGAGACACGGUCCAGACUCCUACGGGAGGCAGCAGUGGGGAAUAUUGCACAAUGGGCGCAAGCCUGAUGCAGCCAUGCCGCGUGUAUGAAGAAGGCCUUCGGGUUGUAAAGUACUUUCAGCGGGGAGGAAGGGAGUAAAGUUAAUACCUUUGCUCAUUGACGUUACCCGCAGAAGAAGCACCGGCUAACUCCGUGCCAGCCGCCGCCGUAA